UCUUUACCUAUUUGAAAUCCGAGAGAAUGAGAGAGAGGCAGAGAGAGCUCGGGAAGCAGAGAGUAAAGAUCAAGACCGAGCGAGAAGAGAGUGAUCACGAGAGAAGAAGAAGCGACGGAGGGGGAAGAUUGGCCAUGGAAAAUAACUGCCAUGGCCGACGAUGAAGCAUCCCCGAAGCAAGGUGGCCGAAGGCGACGGAGCAGCAGCGGCAGCUCAGCGGUGGCGCGCUUGAGGUCCCAGCGAGUUAAGGUGGUCGGCGGGGUCACGUGAGCAGCGACGGAGGCUGGCGUCGGCCAUGGCAGCCGGUUGCGCGCAAGGGAGGUUCAUCCAUGGCAUACUUGGUGACAGAGGGUGUUGUGAGCAGGCAAGUUGCUGGCCGUGGUGGUGGCGAUUGACGGCAGCUCGUGUAGCAGCGACAGCCCGCGGGCCAGACGGCGGUGGCCGGUGGCCAGCGGCCAUGCGUGGGAGCCUGGUGCAGGCACGGUGAAGAUGAAGGGAAGAAGAGGAAGGCGCACGGGAAGCCGAGGAAGAAGGAAGAAAUAAAAGAAAAAAAAUAAAAAUAAAAAUAAAGGAAAUUCUGGAAAAUAAGGGGAAAAUGGAGAAAAAUGCCAGAAAAUUCCAGAAAAAUGGGGGAAGAGUCGGGAAAUUAUUUUGGGGGCCCAAGGAGCUUGUCGAAAGCUUGACAAUGGAGAUUUUGGGGCAAGAUGGCAGUCAAGAAGGUAAGGCCGAUGUGGGCGUUUGUCCAAUUUUCUUCUCCGGAUGGAUUGAGGUUCGAUCGAGAAAGAAGUGAUCCUAGAGGAACUUGAGGUUCGGGCUGGAGUUCGUGCCAAGGUAGAGAUGAGGCUUCGAGCCAGAUGAUGCAAGUCCAGAUGCAAGCAGGGAUAGCGCCGGGAGGCUGUUGUGGUAACUAGUUGUGUUGCCCGAGUUGUGUAUUUUAUUAUCUCUUGUACGUAGCCAUGUGGUGUUAUGUAUGUAUCCCCUUGUGAGUGAAUGUAUGUGUUGUUGAGCGUUAAAUGUAUCUAAUUUUUGUAAUCAUUAUAGCAUGAUAGAUGAUUGGGAUU